rnacentral:rRNA from 1 species
AACUUUUAACAACGGAUCUCUUGGCUCCAGCAUCGAUGAAGAACGCAGCGAAACGCGAUAUGUAAUGUGAAUUGCAGAAUUCAGUGAAUCAUCGAAUCUUUGAACGCACAUGGCGCCUUCCAGUAUCCUGGGAGGCAUGCCUGUCCGAGCGU